CAGAGAUGUGCAGAGAGAAAGGCCUGAGGAGCUUACAAAUGCCUGCAAGGAUCAAGAGGCAUCUGCUGGCUGGAGAGGGAAGCAAGAAGCAGCUGUAAAAACACGAGGGUGUUUGAGAGAAGGGAGAGUGAAUGGUGAUGAAGGUCAGCACUGCUGCAGGAAUGAGGCUUUGAGAAGGCUGUUGCAGGGAAUAUUUCUGUACUGUUGCGUAUACCUGCACUCCCACAUUUGGACAGUACAAAGAGCACAUGUGCUGCCAUUUGGCCAGCACCAUCCACCCGUGCGAGCUAAUUUAAGGUUGCUAAACAGAAGACACAGAACAUACAUCUUUUAUAUUUGAUCUCGACACUGGUCAGCAAGCAGACACAAGCCAGGCAGUUGCAGCCCCAGGCAACUGUGCAGAGCAGGGAAAUCUAUGUGAAGUGCUUCCUACCGGAGUCACCAUCUGGCCAAUAUUCAUCUUGUUUAGUGAAAUACCAAGAUAUCCAUAGAACGCAGGUGUUAAUGCAGAUCAUAAGGCACAAGUGACCGCAGUAAUAAACCAACAUGCAAUGAAAUGUAAUUAAUGCACCUGGUGCUUGGGUUUGAAAAGAAUUUCCGUGCCUUUUUAUUUUCCCUGCACACCGAUGUGAAUUUUAAUAGUUGGAACUUCAAUCAUCGCUUCCAAACAAGCCUUUAAUCAUAUUAAUUCCCUCAAAAAGUGAACUAUAAUGUUUGUGAGUAAAUAGUAUUUCAUAAUUUAAUCAGGAGGGGAAAAAGUGGAAGCGCACAUGAAACUGUGUGCUGCUUAGUUGCAUUUUUGCGGCAUGAAAAAGACUAUUGUCUUGUUUCUGCUGAUCUGGUUCUACCACUGGCAAAAGUUUGCUUUGUAUCAUGUAAUUCUGGCUAGUUGGCUCCAAGGGCUUUAGAAUCAACUGGAAAAAGUGAAAAGAUAUAAGGUUGGGGAAAAAAAAGAGUGAUUAAGCUUUCUAUCACUGGGUUUCAGAGCGUGCUUUUCAUUUCACCCCUAACCUGCACAAACCAGGAGCACCCAAACAGAAAUGGACCGGUAGAGGUUUUUUUGCAGGUGUUUGUGGGUUCCAGGGAAUCACAUUUUCUUUUCAAACGUCCUUUAACAGCUGAGAUUUCACCUGACCUGGUUAGUCAGCUGACAAAUCACAGGCAGACAGGACAUGUGCAAGGGAAAGGGAGAGGUCACCAAGUCAAAGCCAAGGGUCACGGGUGAUUUUUGUUUGGAUGGGUAUUUCUCAGGGGUGGUCUUAAGGGUGCGAGGACCAUAAAUCUGCAGGAGCAUGCUCACAGGCUGACAGACAGGGAUGGUCCUGUCAAGUGACUCCCAGCUGUGCGCUAACUGUUUAAUAAGGACUCGGGGAGUGGUCAGCUCCCCAGAGAGGUGUCUGCUUCCGACACUGCUAUUGCUCGAUCUCUGUCCCCCACCUCGAUGCAGAUUAGUGCGCUUUGCCACUAGCAGCACUAAGUCACCAUGAAGGUGCUGCUGACAGACCAGGAGCACAGGCUGUGGCCCCUUGCUGUCACAGGGCAAGGGCCAGCCAGCACUGGCCACACACAGUGGGUGCCACUUUGACCACCUGAGUGAUUUGGUGGAUGCUCACAGCCCCCAAAGCAAACCCUCCCUAAGUGGGCUGGGAGCUGUGGAUGCGAUGAGCAAGUCGCAAGGCUUUUAUGAUCUUCAACAUGUCUGCGUGCCCUUGUGCCUCAUCCUGUCAUCCUUCUGAAAGAUGUGUUUCUACUCAUGUCCCCACUCACACAGCUGGCAGCCCUGCCCUCUCCUUGUCCCCCGUUGCCACAACAGGAGGAUUGCAUGUGAAUGGCCAUGGGCUCCUUCACUGACUUUACAGGAGCAACCAUGUCCCUCACCAAUGAUGAUCAAAUUACCAAUCCCAUUUUCACUUCUUGGCCAAAGCCAUCUUUUGAGCGCAGUUCCAUAGAGGUGAGAGGUUAAUGUAUUAAGCUGUCUGCUUCAAUUAAUCCCUAACUCCUCGGCAGAUUUACAAACUGUUGGAAGAUUUUAGAUUAUAUCUGAUUUAUGAGACACUCUUUCUAAGUUCAGAUCCCCAUUGCAGCUGGCCACCAUAUAGGGCAAUAAAAAUGAUUACUAGGUAGAUUUAUGGUCAGGGUGGAAAUUUUCAUUUCCAAAAUAAUGCCCAGCUGUCUGUUCUGAACUGGUCACAGUGUGUGAAUACCACAGUAAACCUACCCCAUACAAACUAAGAUGCCUCAGAAUAAGGAAGGCCGAAGUAUCAGGGCUGGACUACAACAUCAAUCCCUCCAA